UUGAAGCUGCGUUGUACGUAUAAUAUUAAGUUUUAACCUUUAAGCUGUAACAGGGAGUUUUAGAUCAAAGAUGGAAUGGCGGGCAUCACACCGAGGUGAAUGAUGAUGAACAGGAAAUCUUUUGCGAACACCCACUUUGAGGAGUGGUGGUUAAAAACUUUCUAUAAUCAAUACGGCAAGGCGGCUCCUAA
rfam:Lysinibacillus sinduriensis BLB-1 = JCM 15800 contig1, whole genome shotgun sequence.